rnacentral:lncRNA from 1 species
AAGAAGAAGGGGCCACCGAGACCCCAAAAGAGUCACGGAGACAGACGGACAAAACGACCGACACAACCAGGGACAGUCAUGUUGUAGCCACCACCUAGGAGCUGGGACUGCCCACCUGCUCACCAUGUCCGACAUUCCUAUCACCCCUCAGCAGGGAGGAAAAGUUGCCUAUCUGUUGGGUCAGAUUUCUGAAGACUGAUGAGGCCCAUUUUCUGACAUCCUUCCAGUUGGAUUUCAACUGGGUUCUGCCGAUGGGAUGUAUCCAUGUGAGAUUCUGGAACUAACAUCAGAGAGAGUCCAAGCUUCUAACUUUUAUCAGUGGCAGUGACAACAGUCAAGCAGCAUUGAUGACAAAUGGCAAGAGUUUACAAAGUACCAGUGACGUGCCUGAUAGAAUCUCCCCACAAGAUGGAAGCCAACUCAUCAGAAGCCUGGAAAGCCCGCCCAGCGUGGGACCUCUGUGGGUCCAGGAUCUUGGAAUGGCAUCCCAUGGUUUAAUCUUCCAGAUUCAACCAAAUAAAUUUACCCCACCAUGUCAUGGACCCAAGCUUCCUACCAUGUAUCCUUAGCUUAAAUGCAAGAUAGUGCUAUCUUGUUCAUCUUGAUUGGAGUGAGAAAUGAAUAGGUCCAUGCACAUAUAUUUCUUUUACCACAACAAGAUGAAGAAGAAAUAAAUCCAUAAUAUUGAUACUUUUGUAUAAGUUGUGUUUACAGUUGCAGUAAGAAAUUUUAUAAUCGUUGAUUUGCUUUAUAUAAUUUCUGCUUGCUUUUUAUGAUAUUUAAAACAAAAUCUAAGCAACAAAUUUUAUGUCUGAUUAGAUUUACAGAAGCUGCUUAAGUGCUUAGGGAUAAUUUGUUCAUCAUACUUGUAAGUCUCCCUUGUUAGGUGUUUGAAGUGUUUGAAUUGGCUAAAUUAAAUUUGUAAUUGUAGUUUCAAAUAUCUAAAG